UUCUAAUUGUUUUUAUACUUAGUUAGCUCUGCCCGGUGAUUAUAAUUUUAACGGCCGCAGUACACUGACUGUGCAAAGGUAGCAUAAUCAUUUGGCUUUUAAAUGAAGUCGGGUAUGAACGAGUUAAUGGGGGUGUACUGUCUCCGAUUUUUUAAAGAUAAUUUACUAAGAGAGUGAAAAUGCUCUCAAUUCCUGCUAAAAGACGAGAAGACCCUAUAAAUUUAUAUUAAAUAGUACUCUUAAUACUUUAUAUUUUUGUUGGGGCAACAAGUUACCAUAAGUACUUUAAAUGUAGCUAGGUAUUAUUGGAUAGGUCGGGUUCUACCAGUGAUAAUAAAAUUACUUUAGGGAUAACAGCAUAAUUUUUAUAUUAAGAUUGUGACCUCGAUGUUGGACUAGGGACUAAUUAAAUCAACCAUUUAAUUAGAAAGUUCUGUUCGAACUUCUUUCACCU
rnacentral:rRNA from 1 species